rnacentral:lncRNA from 1 species
GCUCAGUGAAGCUUAUUUUACACAGAUUGUUGUUCAACAAGACUUCACUAGAAGAACAGAAAUACACAGUAUCCAUAAAUACAUAGUAUCUUUAUUUAAGCGCACAUUUGCUAAUGUUCUUACUGUGGUAACAAAUUUAUUUAACUAUCUUUACUCUCAUCCUAAGAUCAAAAAUCUCAGUUAAAGUAAUACACAUGUUGCCAUAAAGUGGAAGUUACUUUAAGCUGUGAUUUAAAAAAAUAAAAAAGAUCCUGAAAUGGAAAUAUGUGAUUUUAUGGGACACAGGAGCUUGAAGAAUCCUACCAAAGCUGGCAGGGUUCUAUCACAUCAUGACUUCCAGUUUUUCUUUUGAUUUUUUAUAGGUCCACUUUCAUUACUACCAUAAGAUUCCUUUCUUUUUCUUUGCAAGACUUAUCUUUAGUCCAACGUUCUUUCAUCCAAAAGAAGACGUGCUGGCAUGCAGUUCGAUUAUGAGUACUAGUCUUUUUGUAAAUUAUAAACAGGCCUCGUUUGGGAGACCGUUAUUUCACUAUUCCAGCCGUAAUUCUUGACUUCUUCUCUCACAGGUGCCCCCCCCCCUCCACUUUUCUCCUAAAGGUCAAAAAAUCAAUUCUUAAAAUCACUACCAAACAGGCCCAUAUUACCUGCUUUGAUUCUUUAUAUAAAUAAUAUCAUUAUACCCUUGUAACAACUAUCAUUCGGCUAAUGUAUCAGGGUCAUAGCUCCCAUAGGAGACCCUUUUGGUGUAUAAGUUUCAUCUUUUUCUUUAAAUUGAAUAGCUCCCUAGUUCUUACAGGACCCACCCAACGCCCAAAAUAUUGAGUUUCUCAGGUGUGCAUAUGGGGAGGCUCAUUACUUCAACUAGUCCCCAUAUUCCUCGAAUGAAUCUCUUAAUUGUUGAGAAN